AACAACAACAACAACAACAACUUAAGUGUUUAUUAUAUUUUUGGUCUUUUUACCCUUUCAUACAGAUUGUUUAGGUUAAAUAAAAAAUGACGUUUCAAGGAUCUUUUGAAGAGUUUUUCAAGCAGCAGAAG